rnacentral:rRNA from 1 species
UACGAAGGGGGGCUAGCGUUGCUCGGAAUCACUGGGCGUAAAGGGUGCGUAGGCGGGUCUUUUAAGUCAGGGGGUGAAAUCCUGGAGCUCAACUCCAGAACUGCCUUUGAUACUGAGGAUCUUGAGUUCGGGAGAGGUGAGUGGAACUGCGAGUGUAGAGGUGAAAUUCGUAGAUAUUCGCAAGAACACCAGUGGCGAAGGCGGCUCACUGGCCCGAUACUGACGCUGAGGCACGAAAGCGUGGGGAGCAAACAGGG